rnacentral:misc_RNA from 1 species
GUGAAUCAUCAAAUUUUUGAACGCAAAUUGCACUCUCUUGGGAGAGAAUGCCUGUUUGAGGGUCAGCCUAAAAAAAAUCGACAUAGUCGCUGUUAUCGUGGUGACAUUCGUCGGAAAUUGGGUCCUCUUAAACUUUUGGGUAUUAAGAGGCUUAAAAUUUUAUUUACGGAUUACACGAACGUUUCUAAGAUUUACUUCUUACACACGUUUAAGGUAUCGAUCUUUAUUAGACGUGGACGUUGCAUCGGAUCUCGUCCAUAAUUAUUUCGUU